UACAGAGGUCUCAAGCGUUUGUUCGGAUUCAUUGGGCGUAAAGGGUGCGUAGGCGGCGAGGUAAGUCGGAUGUGAAAUCCCGGGGCUCAACCCUGGAACUGCAUUCGAUACUGCCUUGCUCGAGGACUCGAGAGGGGGAUUGGAAUUCACGGUGUAGCAGUGAAAUGCGUAGAUAUCGUGAGGAAGACCAGUGGCGAAGGCGGAUCUCUGGAGAGUUCCUGACGCUGAGGCACGAAGGCCAGGGGGAGCAAACGGGG
rnacentral:rRNA from 1 species